rnacentral:RNase_P_RNA from 2 species
UCCUCACCAAAGCUGCGUUUCUUUGCUUCCACACAGACAACUACGAUUUACCUCGUCGUUGUCCAUCAUCCUGCAAAUGAGAAAUUCGGAGUAAUCUUCACAUUACACAAACACUCAUCUUGUUUCAACUCUUGUUGUUCGAGCUCUGAGUUACUGCCUGCGAGGGCCUGACGUGACACGUCUGCACCUGGCAUCAGAAAUUUCAGAACGUCUUGACCCUUUUCGAACUCGCUUUUUAGAGGGAAGAGCUCGCGUUUCUAUGGGAGCCGGUGCGAAGAUUGUGUGCGAGUGUUUGUACACUUGCGAUACUUGAGUGCAAUACGCAGCGUUUCUUCUUCUCUUGAAGUUAUAAUUCGAUUCCGAUUACUCGGGUGAGGA